rnacentral:rRNA from 1 species
GACGGAGGGCGCAAGCGUUGUUCGGAAUUACUGGGCGUAAAGCGCGGGCAGGUGGUCUGUUAAGUCGUUUGUGAAAACCCGGGGCUCAACCCCGUGGAAUGCAUACGAUACUGGCAGACUAGAGACCAGUAGAGGCUAGCGGAAUUCCUGGUGUAGCGGUGGAAUGCGUAGAUAUCAGGAAGAACACCUGUGGCGAAGGCGGCUAGCUGGGCUGGAUCUGACACUCAUCCGCGAAAGCGUGGGGAGCAAACAGGAUUAGAAACCCCCGUAGUCC